rnacentral:rRNA from 1 species
UACAGAGGAUGCAAGCGUUAUCCGGAAUCAUUGGGUUUAAAGGGUGCGCAGGCGGUAAAGUAAGUCAGUGGUGAAAUCUCUUCGCUCAACGGAGAAACUGCCAUUGAUACUGCUAUACUUGAAUAUAGUUGAAGUAGGCGGAAUGUGUAGUGUAGCGGCGAAAUGCUUAGAUAUUACACAGAACACCAAUAGCGAAGGCAGCUUACUAAACUAAUAUUGACGCUCAUGCACGAAAGCGUGGGGAGCGAACAGG